rnacentral:rRNA from 1 species
AUUGAACGCUGGCGGCAUGCUUUACACAUGCAAGUCGAACGGUAACAGGGUGCUUGCACCGCUGACAAGUGGCGAACGGGUGAGUAAUGCGUCGGAACGUGCCGAGUAGUGGGGGAUAACGCAGCGAAAGUUGUGCUAAUACCGCAUACGUACUGAGGUAGAAAGUGGGGGACCUUCGGGCCUCACGCUAUUCGAGCGGCCGACGUCUGAUUAGCUAGUAGGUGAGGUAAAGGCUCACCUAGGCGACGAUCAGUAGCGGGUCUGAGAGGAUGAUCCGCCACACUGGGACUGAGACACGGCCCAGACUCCUACGGGAGGCAGCAGUGGGGAAUUUUGGACAAUGGGCGAAAGCCUGAUCCAGCCAUGCCGCGUGUCUGAAGAAGGCCUUCGGGUUGUAAAGGACUUUUGUCAGGGAGGAAAUCCCUAGUGCUAAUAACACUGGGGGAUGACAGUACCUGAAGAAUAAGCACCGGCUAACUACGUGCCAGCAGCCGCCGUAAGAC